rfam:Gossypium hirsutum cultivar TM-1 chromosome 9, whole genome shotgun sequence
UCUUAAAAAUUGCAUCUAUUUGUAUCGUUAAAACUUGACAUAAUUGACAGAAUAACCAGAUAGUGAUAUGUGGCAUGUCAUGUGUACCUGUUGACGUAUGAAGAUCAAUUUUUAAUAGUAUAAAUCGAUAAAAUUUUUAAUA